UACCUUUUGUAUAAUGGGUCAGCGACUUAUAUUCUGUAGCAAGGUUAACCGAAUAGGGGAGCCGAAGGGAAACCGAGUCUUAACUGGGCGUUAAGUUGCAGGGUAUAGACCCGAAACCCGGUGAUCUAGCCAUGGGCAGGUUGAAGGUUGGGUAACACUAACUGGAGGACCGAACCGACUAAUGUUGAAAAAUUAGCGGAUGACUUGUGGCUGGGGGUGAAAGGCCAAUCAAACCGGGAGAUAGCUGGUUCUCCCCGAAAGCUAUUUAGGUAGCGCCUCGUGAACUCAUCUCCGGGGGUAGAGCACUGUUUCGGCAAGGGGGUCAUCCCGACUUACCAACCCGAUGCAAACUGCGAAUACCGGAGAAUGUUAUCACGGGAGACACACGGCGGGUGCUAACGUCCGUCGUGAAGAGGGAAACAACCCAGACCGCCAGCUAAGGUCCCAAAGUCAUGGUUAAGUGGGAAACGAUGUGGGAAGGCCCAGACAGCCAGGAUGUUGGCUUAGAAGCAGCCAUCAUUUAAAGAAAGCGUAAUAGCUCACUGGUCGAGUCGGCCUGCGCGGAAGAUGUAACGGGGCUAAACCAUGCACCGAAGCUGCGGCAGCGACACUAUGUGUUGUUGGGUAGGGGAGCGU
rnacentral:rRNA from 1 species